CGCGGUUUUUUAACGUAUAACAAAAAUAAACAAAAUCGUCUAGUAUUGUGGCGAAUGUCGUAUUAAUCGCAUCACUGCGAACGGCCGAUUAAAAUUGAAUUUUUCAACGUUUUGUCCGGGGACGUCUGGAUGUUCGUGUAGAUUAACUUCGUAAAGUUUCUGCAACGCGAAUUUAAACCGGUCAAGUUAUAAUGGAAUAUAACGGCGAUGCAAACAAUUGGCUAAUCAAUCAAAUUGAAAAGUUGAAAAAAAAAAAAAAAAUUAAAAUAACUUUUUAACUCGUCUUUUCGACCGAUUUAUGUACGCAGUCGAUAU